rnacentral:rRNA from 1 species
UACGGGGGGAGCAAGCGUUGUUCGGAUUUACUGGGCGUAAAGGGCGCGUAGGCGGCGCAACAAGUCACUUGUGAAAUCUCCGGGCUUAACCCGGAGCGGCCAAGUGAUACUGUCGUGCUAGAGUGCGGAAGGGGCUACUGGAAUUCUCGGUGUAGCGGUGAAAUGCGUAGAUAUCGCUUGGAACGCCCGCGGCGAAAGCGGAUGACUGGGGUUGUGCCGACGCUGAGACACGAAAGCCAGGGGAGCGAACGGG